GCUCUUUAGUUAGUCAUACUUCCACUCAAUAAUGUAUUCUCAUUAUUUGGUUCUUUGCAUGCUACUGAUGACUUGACUUUGCCUGGUCCAUAUGUAACUUCUCCACUGGCUCCGCCUACCGGAUCAAGAACAAAGAAGGUGACCAGAAAAAGGCAAAAGCCAAGCAUCAUUUCACAUUUUCCGAUUUUAAAGAGACUAUCGAUUGAGGCGCAAACCAAAGCUACCAGCGCCUCGACCAGUCAUCUGGGGCGGACUCCCCCGAUUGACUUGGCCCUGACUCCAAUUAGAGAUCCUGCCUCGAGCGCAUCCGAAGAAGAUCCAUAGCUCAGGGGAAGUGAAACUUCAAUACCAAUUCCGAAUGAUGAUCCGUGGGCGGCGAUAAAACCUCUUCUCCAGGCUACAAGCGCUUAGGUAGCUGCCGCUGAGGCUAACCACCACAAGAAGCUUGAAGCCAAGAGGGAGAAAAUUGAACGCCUUGAAUCCUCCUGCAACAGCAAGGAAAAGCUUCAUCCUGACGCAAUGAAGAAGGUUAACAACGAUGUCAAGUUUCAGGAGAGACUCAGGAAUCAAGCGAACACUGCUCGAGCUAAAAAGAAGGCGAUGAUGGCUGAAAGGGAUGCUGCGGUUCUGGCUCUUCAAGAGCUAAAAGAGCAGACCCUCGAUCUCAUGUCACAAGCAGCCUCUGCAAGUGCUGCCACAUUGCUAGGUAUUCUCAAGAGCUAUAACCCCAUGCUCGAUACCUCAUUGGUGGUAGUCGGGUUCAAUUGCACUAGCAAGGAAGUCGCAAAACUGGUCGCAAGCGUCCAGCCGGUAG